rnacentral:rRNA from 1 species
CAGUCGCCGCGGUAAUACAGAGGGUGCGAGCGUUAAUCGGAUUUACUGGGCGUAAAGCGUGCGUAGGCGGCUUCUUAAGUCGGAUGUGAAAUCCCUGAGCUUAACUUAGGAAUUGCAUUCGAUACUGGGAAGCUAGAGUAUGGGAGAGGAUGGUAGAAUUCCAGGUGUAGCGGUGAAAUGCGUAGAGAUCUGGAGGAAUACCGAUGGCGAAGGCAGCCAUCUGGCCUAAUACUGACGCUGAGGUACGAAAGCAUGGGGAGCAAACAGGAUUAGAUACCCCGGUAGUCCAUGUCUCUUAUAU